UUCGGAUUGUAGUCUGCAACCCGACUACAUGAAGCUGGAAUCGCUAGUAAUCGCGGAUCAGAAUGCCGCGGUGAAUACGUUCCCGGGCCUUGUACACACCGCCCGUCACACCAUGGGAGUCGGAAAUGCCCGAAGCCGGUGACUCAACCUUUAAGGAGAGAGCCGUCGAAGGCAGGUCUGAUAACUGGGGUGAAGUCGUAACAAGGUAUC
rnacentral:rRNA from 1 species